rnacentral:tRNA from 1 species
GCGGGAGUAGCUCAGUUGGUAGAGCACAACCUUGCCAAGGUUGGGGUCGCGGGUUCAAGUCCCGUCUCCCGCU